rnacentral:misc_RNA from 1 species
GACAGAGGGUGCAAACGUUGCUCGGAAUUAUUGGGCGUAAAGAGCGUGUAGGCGGCUCGCUAAGUCGACUGUGAAAGCCCUCGGCUCAACCGGGGAAGUGCAGUCGAUACUGGCAAGCUCGAGUCCCGAAGAGGGUGGCGGAAUGCGCAGUGUAGAGGUGAAAUUCGUAGAUAUUGCGUAGAACAUCGGUGGCGAAGGCGGCCACCUGGGAGGCGACUGACGCUGAGACGCGAAAGCGUGGGGAGCAAACAGG